GCCCGAAUGGCUCAGUGGUAGAGCAUUUUCUUGGUAAGAAAAAGGUCGAGAGUUCGAUUCUCUCUUCGGGCUCCA
rnacentral:tRNA from 1 species